CCUACGGGAGGCAGCAGUGAGGAAUAUUGGUCAAUGGACGAGAGUCUGAACCAGCCACGUAGCGUGAAGGAUGACUUCCCUCUGGGUUGUAAACUUCUUUUAUAAAGGAGUAAAACUAGCCACGUGUGCCUUUUUGCCUGUACUUAAUGAAUAAGGAUCGGCUAACUCCGUGCCAGCAGCCGCGGUAAUACGUAGGGUGCGAGCGUUAAUAGGAAUUACUGGGCGUAAAGGGUGUGCAGGCGGUUUUGCAAGAUGGAUGUGAAAGCCCCGGGCUUAACCGGGGAAAGCCAUACAUGACUGCAAGACUAGAGUGCGGCAGAGGGAGGUGGAAUUCCAAGUGUAGCAGUGAAAUGCGUAGAUAUUUGGAGGAACACCGAUGGCGAAGGCAGCCCCCUGGGACGCAACUGACGCUGAUACACGAAAGCGUGGGGAGCAAACAGGAUUAGAUACCCGUGUAGUC
rnacentral:rRNA from 1 species